GACGUAGGGCGCGAGCGUUGUCCGGAUUUAUUGGGCGUAAAGAGCUCGUAGGCGGCUUGUCGCGUCGACCGUGAAAACUCGCAGCUCAACUGCGAGCCUGCGGUCGAUACGGGCAGACUAGAGUGCGGUAGGGGAGACUGGAAUUCCUGGUGUAGCGGUGAAAUGCGCAGAUAUCAGGAGGAACACCGGUGGCGAAGGCGGGUCUCUGGACAGUUCCUGACACUGAGACACGAAGGCCAGGGGAGCAAACGGG
rnacentral:rRNA from 1 species